UAGUCCACGCCGUAAACGAUGUCUACUAGCCGUUGGGAGACUUGAUUUCUUAGUGGCGCAGCUAACGCACUAAGUAGACCGCCUGGGGAGUACGGCCGCAAGGUUAAAACUCAAAUGAAUUGACGGGGGCCCGCACAAGCGGUGGAGCAUGUGGUUUAAUUCGAUGCAACGCGAAGAACCUUACCAGGACUUGACAUCCAGAGAACUUGGCAGAGAUGCCUUGGUGCCUUCGGGAGCUCUGUGACAGGUGCUGCAUGGCUGUCGUCAGUUCGUGUCGUGAGAUGUUGGGUUAAGUCCCGUAACGAGCGCAACCCUUGUCCUUAGUUGCCAGCACGUAAUGGUGGGAACUCUAGGGAGACUGCCGGUGACAAACCGGAGGAAGGUGGGGGACGACGUCAAGUCAUCAUGGGCCCUUACGUCCUGGGGCUACACACGUGCUACAAUGGAAC
rnacentral:rRNA from 1 species